rnacentral:rRNA from 1 species
GGCGGCAGGCUUAACACAUGCAAGUCGAGGCGGUAGCAGAUCUAGCUUGCUGAUGCUGACGAGCGGCGGACGGGUGAGUAACGCGUAGGAACCUGCCCAGUAGUGGGGGAUAGCCCGGGGAAACUCGAAUUAAUACCGCAUACGCUCUACGGAGGAAAAGAGGGGGCUUCGGGCUCUCGCUAUUGGAUGGGCCUGCGUGAGAUUAGCUAGUUGGUGAGGUAAUGGCUCACCAAGGCGACGAUCUCUAGCUGGUCUGAGAGGAUGAUCAGCCACACUGGGACUGAGACACGGCCCAGACUCCUACGGGAGGCAGCAGUGGGGAAUAUUGCACAAUGGGCGCAAGCCUGAUGCAGCCAUGCCGCGUGUGUGAAGAAGGCUUUCGGGUUGUAAAGCACUUUCAGUGGGGAGGAAGGCCUCGUAGUUAAUAGCUGCGAGGAUUGACGUUACCCACAGAAGAAGCACCGGCUAACUCCGUG